rnacentral:rRNA from 1 species
UGGGGAAUCUUGCACAAUGGGGGAAACCCUGAUGCAGCGACGCCGCGUGAGCGAUGAAGGUUUUCGAAUCGUAAAGCUCUGUCCUAUGGGAAGAUAAUGACGGUACCAUGGGAGGAAGCCCCGGCUAACUACGUGCCAGCAGCCGCGGUAAUACGUAGGGGGCGAGCGUUGUCCGGAAUUACUGGGCGUAAAGGGUUCGCAGGCGGCAUGGCAAGUCCGAUGUAAAAGGCGAAGGCUCAACCUUCGUAAGCAUCGGAAACUGUCAAGCUUGAGUGAAGGAGAGACAGGUGAAAUUCCUAGUGUAGCGGUGGAAUGCGUAGAUAUAGGAGGAAUACCGGUGGCGAAGGCGACUUGCUGGACUUCAACUGACGCUGAGGAACGAAAGCGUGGGUAGCAAACAGG